GAGCUAUCCGCUAUCCCUGAUGAUAUUUUAGCCACUCCCACUGGUGCCAGUAACCUUUUCUCUGAGCAAGUCACCAUAGCACUGACAGGUUUUUCUGCUGUGACAGUGAAGCCUGGAUUGUGCCCUAGUGUCCAUGGAGGUAAUACACGGGGACCUGGUCGGCACAGGGGACCCCCACGACGUGGGCGUCCAAAUCAUGACUCAUCUGAUGAGUCUGGCUCAGAUUCGAAGGAAAGCAGGGGCCGGGGUCGCCAGAAUCCUUGCUUGGCUGCACCCUGUAGGGGAGAUGCAGACUGCAAAGGAAACCUGAAGUGCUGUGCAAUUGAACGGUGUGGGCAAAAGUGUGUAAAACCUCUCAUUAGAAAGCCCAGCUGGCAACAUAAGAAAACACCUUGAAGAUUCCAUCAUUAAUUGUCUUGGUUCUUGUGGGGGAUGAAUCAGAUGUUCCUCUAGCAGGUGUACAAUUAAAAAAACCCCAGCAUUUUAAAAACA